ACGGGGGGAGGAAAGUAGGGGAUCGAAAGACCUCGCGCUAUUGGAGCGGCCGAUGUCCGAUUAGCUAGUUGGUGGGGUAAUGGCCUACCAAGGCAACGAUCGGUAGCCGGUCUGAGAGGAUGAUCAGCCACACUGGGACUGAGACACGGCCCAGACUCCUACGGGAGGCAGCAGUGGGGAAUUUUGGACAAUGGGCGCAAGCCUGAUCCAGCCAUGCCGCGUGAGUGAAGAAGGCCUUCGGGCUGUAAAGCUCUUUCGGCCGGAACGAAAUCGUCCGGGCUAACACCUCGGAUGGAUGACGGUACCGGAAGAAGAAGCACCGGCUAACUACGUGCCAGCAGCCGCGGUAAUACGUAGGGUGCAGGCGUUAAUCGGAAUUACUGGGCGUAAAGCGUGCGCAGGCGGCUUCCUAAGUCAGAUGUGAAAUCCCCGGGCUUAACCUGGGAACUGCGUUUGAAACUACAAAGCUAG
rnacentral:rRNA from 1 species